GGAAAUGUGAUAGUUCAGUGGUAGAGCAUCUGAUUUGCAUACAGAAGGUCCCCAGUUCAAUCCCAGGCAUCUCCA